AUUUCGAGCAUGACUUCAUUGGCGUCAGCAACGUUUUGCUGUUCGGGUUUAGCCGCCAUGUUUAAGUUGGCCGGGUUUCGCACCACUGAGGUCAUGGAUACUCAGGCCUCUUUGCGUGUUUCUUCAACACUGCUUCUAAGGUUAACCGCGUUACAUUUGUUGGAGAAAAUCCUGGGAACGCUGAAAAGGACUAGUGGGUGGGGUGCGAGGGUGGGGUCUUGCCCGAAUUAAAGAUGGCCGCAGUCAGCUCUGCCCCGCGCAAUUUCACGUCAAGUUUUGGAGCUGCGGGAGCCGGCCAGUUGGCCUCAGCGCCUCCUUACGGAAUUGGCGUAAGGCAAAGAGGCGCGGCUGGAAGAACCAGACUGAGAAAGUGCCACAGGGCGGGGGCCGCAUCCGCCCCUCGGCUUCUGGUUACUGACCCGACGGCUUUGUGAGUGAAAGUGAAGAGACACUUCGAGGCAGGUGUCUGUGCUCCCCAUUCAUCCCUGUUUCCGUGGCUAUCUUGACUUUCGGGGUGAAAAGUGAGGUUAGGCCCUGUUUCCCCGACCCUUCCCUCGCGCCAUCACACUCUAGUGGCCUGGCACAGCCCCAGAGGUCGGCCGCUGUAGCCCCCAUUGCGGACUCGCCACAUUCAUAUUGGCUCACCUUGUCGGUGCCCGGUUCGGUCCUCUUGGAGCUCACACUCCAGUUGAGGAAAUGAAUGGACACAGGAACUACUGGGUAACAAAAUACUAAUAAAGGGCUGCGAUUGUGUGAGUUUCUACUGUAGCGAUGAAUGUCGCUGUCAUUGGAACGUUCCCCAAGUGCCUUCUAGUGAAAGCCUUACUUCACUCGGAAUAACCUGUGGUCUUUUCUUGAACGUGAUGGCUCUCUUGGUUGUAUUCUUCAUGCACAUGUGUUACUUUUCCUGUUUAACUACAUGUUAAAGAAAUGUGUAUGUUCCUGUUUAACUGCAUGUUUUAAAAAAGUAUGUGUAUUUUUAAGUUAUAGGCACGUGCAAGAAAGUUCAGAGCAAAAUAGCUUAUAUUAGUGAAACAAUAAAUGUCUACUAAUAGGAGAAUGGAUGAA
rnacentral:lncRNA from 10 species